GAGUUUGAUCAUGGCUCAGGAUGAACGCUAGCGGCAGGCUUAACACAUGCAAGUCGAGGGGUAUAGUUCUUCGGAACUAGAGACCGGCGCACGGGUGCGUAACGCGUAUGCAAUCUACCUUUUGCAGAGGGAUAGCCCAGAGAAAUUUGGAUUAAUACCUCAUAGUAUAGCGACAUCGCAUGAUGAUGCUAUUAAAGUCACAACGGCAAAAGAUGAGCAUGCGUCCCAUUAGCUAGUUGGUAAGGUAACGGCUUACCAAGGCAACGAUGGGUAGGGGUCCUGAGAGGGAGAUCCCCCACACUGGUACUGAGACACGGACCAGACUCCUACGGGAGGCAGCAGUGAGGAAUAUUGGACAAUGGGCGCAAGCCUGAUCCAGCCAUGCCGCGUGCAGGAUGACGGUCCUAUGGAUUGUAAACUGCUUUUAUACAGGAAGAAACACUGGUUCGUGAACCAGCUUGACGGUACUGUAAGAAUAAGGAUCGGCUAACUCCGUGCCAGCAGCCGCGGUAA
rnacentral:rRNA from 1 species